rnacentral:rRNA from 1 species
AGAGUUUGAUCCUGGCUCAAAAUCAACGCUGGCGGCGUGCCUCAGACAUGCAAGUCGAACGCGAAAGGUUCCUUCGGGAGCCGAGUAGAGUGGCGCACGGGUGAGUAACACGUAGGUAAUUUGCCUUUGGGUGGGGAAUAACUCAGGGAAACUUGAGCUAAUACCGCAUAAUGCAGCGGCUCGACAUCGAGACAGUUGUUAGAGCGGGGGAUUCGCAAGAACCUCGCGCCUAAAGAGAAGCCUGCGGCAGAUUAGCUAGUUGGUAGGGUAAUGGCCUACCAAGGCGACUAUCUGUAACCGGCCUGAGAGGGCGGUCGGUCACACUGACACUGACAUACGGGUCACACUCCUACGGGAGGCAGCAGUCGGGAAUUUUGGGCAGUGGGCGAAAGCCUGACCCAGCAACGCCGCGUGAAAGAUGAUAUUUUUCGGAAUGUAAACUUCGCAAGAACGGGAAGAAUAAGUAGAAGGUAACAUCUUCUAUGAUGACGGUACCGUUUUGUAAGCUCCGGCUAACUCCGUGCCAGCAGCCGCGGUAAUACGG